rnacentral:rRNA from 1 species
GUCCAGCCUGCCCAGUGACAUUGUUCAACGGCCGCGGUAUCCUAACCGUGCGAAGGUAGCGUAAUCACUUGUUCUUUAAUUGAGGACUAGUAUGAAUGGCUUCACGAGGACUAUACUGUCUCCUUUUUCUAAUCAAUGAAACUAAUCUCCCCGUGAAGAAGCGGGGAUAACUUUAUAAGACGAGAAGACCCUAUGGAGCUUUAAACAAUUGAAAUAUUUGCUUUUACUAACUACCUUCCGUGGCCUAAAUAUAUUUAAGCAUUAUUAAUUUCUAGUUUUAGGUUGGGGUGACCACGGAGUAAAAUUUAACCUCCACGCUGAAAGUAAAGCCUUCUUAGCAAAAAGCCACAUCUUUAUGCAUCACUAAACUGACUUACAUUGACCCAAUUAUUUGAUCAACGAACCAAGUUACCCUAGGGAUAACAGCGCAAUCUACCUCAAGAGCCCGUAUCGACAGGUAGGUUUACGACCUCGAUWUUGGAUCAGGGUGUCCUGGUGGUGCAGCCGCUACUAAAGGUUCGUUUGUUCAACGAUUAAAACCCUACGUGAUCUGAGU